GUCCUCACAAGCAAUGUUCAAGUCUGUGGUGUUUUCUUGCAGUCUGUCUGUCUUUUUACUAAUAAGGCUUUGAUUAUCUGCAAAUAGGAGUUCGUUGAGGGCUGCUGGUUUUGGGUUUGCCUGCUUUGUUAUCUUGUCCAUGCGUAUGAUGAACAAGAGCGGCGACAGUGCGCAGCCCUGCCUAACCCCGACCGUACCUCAAACUAGGACUGCACCCAUGCAGUUUUGUAGAAGGCCCUGAUGUUAUCAAGUAGUUGGUCACUGACAUUAUACUGUUCUAGCACUGUUUAUAAUUUCUACCUGUUAACGCGAUCGAAGGCCUUCUCCUAGUCAACAAACACCAGAUUCAGCUCCUUAAUGUACUCUAUGGCUUUCUCACUGAUUUGCCUUAGGACAACGAUGGCGUCUGUGCCCCCUUUUCCCUUCCUGAAGCCCAUCUGUGCUUCACUCAAGACUGGUUCCACUUUCUAUCUUGUUCUUUGUUCCAGGAUCUUUGAAAACAUUUUUCCGAGAUGCCCGAAAACCGUUUCUGACAAAGAUGAUACCAACAAAACUAUCUGUCGGUUUUUGAGAAAUAUUUGAACUACAGUUUGGGAAGAAAUGGAUGCAACUUCUCCCAACCGAAAAAGCCUUUUUCUAAAUCUAGUACUGUUCGCAGCAGGAAGUUUCUGUGGAUAUUUGUUGAAUUCGCAUUUAGACACAGUCUAUAUUAGAGAACAGAACAGUUAUCAUGCAGCCGGUGCUUUUGAAGUCAGCUCCCUUAUGCGUCCUUUGGGAAAGACUCAAUCUCAUCUCGUUAAGUAUGAUCCAACCAUUUGUAAGUAAGUAUGUAAAACAAUUUCAGUUUAUUGUAUUGCUACAAUCUGGAAUAUUUUUUCACUACGAUAAUAAACUUAAGAAAUAGGUUAAGUGAUUGUAAAAUAGUUUUGUAUAGGAAAUAUACAAUAUAUAUAUAAAGAAUUAAAUGUUCUCCCAACCAUACUAACCAAGAAGCAAGUACAAUAAAGGUGAUUCAAAUAAUAGUUACCAGUGCAAUCGCCGCACUUCGAUCAGUAUUAUGUAUUUAUUUUGAUGCUGUUACAAAACUGAUGACAGACUAUGUAGUGUCCUUUUCGCCAGAAAAAAAUAACCAAAAGUACAUAAUGCGGUCACGAGCUAUGUGAUUGAUUAUUGUACGAUCGAAUAAAUACCUCCCUUAUAUUUCAGUAAACUUAAGCAGAUUCCUUGUUCUGAGUGCAAAGCGGCUAAACUAUCCAUUUCAGCAGCAGACCAGAAAAGAAGAGAGGCAAGUUUAAAAAGAUACGAAAGAAGGCGAAUCAACAUAUUCCACGGACGUAACCAAGUAAACGGGUCAUCACCGAUAAGUUAUCCGGCACAUGGCGUUUCUGUCAUACCGAUGCGUUCUGUGUGGCUAAAAGGGUUACAAGUUGAGUGGUUCAAUCUUUACAAUAUACGGAGCAACAUAAAAUUAAAGUUUCAGAUAAAUGCUACCAGAGGAGUUUUCAACUUGAUUGGCCAUGUACAUGAUGUCGAUGUUACGGGGAAUGGUUCAAAGACGAUAACUAUCUCAACAUACAGCCCGUCCCUGCUUAAUCUUCAGCUCAAGUACAUCGCCUAUGAAAAUACAUUUUUCGAUGCCAAUAUUGUCGACCGAGGUAAUCUUGUGGUACACUUUUAAGUGCAAUGAAUAAUAUGGAUUUUAUUUGAAACAUUUGAAAGCACGCUGCUAAGGUAGUGGUAGAGGUAGGCCGCCUGGUCCACAGUUUCGACUUGAGUGUUAUACACGCUGAUACUCAGCCGUGAUUGAUCAGCAUGAUCUCCCACUUCCAUUGUUUUGUUCUUUUCUAUGCUGAUCUUCAGCCCAACGUUCCCAGCAAACCGUUCUAGCUUUGUUGUGAGGUGCUGUAGAUCCUGGUUGUUCUCAGACAGCGGGGCUAGAUCAUCCGCAAAGUCAAGGUCUGCCAGUUUCUCUCCCUCCCUCCACCUCACUAACUCUCUACCAUCAUCUCCAGUCUUUCUCAGGACAAAGUCAAUGGUGAAAAGAAAAAAAGGGAAAGGAUUUCUCUUUGUCUGACACGCGUGGCAAUGUCGAAGAAAUCUGCUGUUUCUCCCUCUGUUAUGACGCAGCAUCUUGAGUUUCCAAAAAGAGUCUUGAAGGCGUUGGCAAACUGCAAUAUCACAAAGAGAUGCCCUAAGGACACUGUCAAAAGCUUUCUUAAAGUCUAUGAAGUUUAAUACCAGUGGCGUUUGGUGCUCAAGACACUGGUCAAUGAUGUUACGGAGAGUGAAGACCUGUUCUAUGCAGGAGCGGUAACUACCCGUUAGUACAUAAGAUUCAAUUUUCAAUCAACCAGUAAGCAUUUAACGGAUCCUUUUUGAAAUUCAGUGUACAUGGGUUCAGACCGAGCUUUUUGGGCUUUUAAAGUAAAUCAACAAGCACUUAUCGUAGGAACACAAGCGGUUCCAGCGCAAGCCGUACAGGUACUAUCCGCAAUGAAAGUUGGCACGGGCCUCAAAAGCCCCCCACCCCACCUCUCCGGUAUGAAUAGGGUUAAGGGAGAUUACGCGCACGUGAGUUUGUGUAUUGCUUGUUCUAGUCGAGGCGGCAUCCCUUUGCCAAAAAUAGUCUAAUUUUCUGCUGGAUGAAACCAAACAUAUUGUGACAUAUCGGCUUUGUGGUCACUAGCUAGAAAUUAAAAUGAAUUUAGCUAGAAAUUAAAAUGAAUUUCAGUGGCUUCUGUAAUGUUAUAGGUUUAGCAAUGGGAUAUAUUACAAUAGGCGUGGCUUUAAAAAAUGACAAUAGGUCGACCUAAAAAUGUAAAAUUAGUCAAGGCCUGUGCUAGGGCCCCUAAUGAACGCCACCUAGAAAUAUUGCAUUUUAUUGCUUUUUGUUGUAUGCACAGAUUUUCACACUUCUGUUAACGGCGUUUCCAGGACAUAAACUAGACUCAUUAUGUGUCAGUACCAGGUCUUUGCUCUGCAGGAUUACAAAACAUGGCCACUCUUGCAUCAUAGUUUCUGUUUUGCAUUGUUAAGCAACAUAAACUUUUUUUUCCUUUAAGUCAUAAUUCAAUUCAUGGAGUUCACUGCAACCAUGCCGAUACACAUUCAACACGUUCAGCUGCCAUGGCUGUUCGAAGAAGGAACAGCUUUCAGAGCAGUAAUGUCGAUCACUACCGGAUGCCCGCAUACAAGGGAUAUUUUGCUGGCCGAAAUCUUGGAUUAUCCCAGGUAUGGACGGAAUAUUUUUUCUACAUGGAUGACGACAUGGUGAUUACAGAAACAACAAAGAUGGACUUGCUUGUAUCAUUCCUGGAUAAAACCAACUUUCAUCUUGUAGGUGUGGGAAUCCAGGAUCGGUUAAGUCCAACAACUUACCUAGCUCUCGGGAAUAAGACACACAGGUGCAUUGUUCAGAAACCAGACCCAGGAUAUUACAGUGAAGUCCGCGGAUUUCCUGGGAUAUACGCAAACGACGCCGUUUUAAAUAUAUUUCUUGCCUCUACCAAUGAAGCCAAAGCGGUCGGCUUCGAUCCACACCCAUUACUCGCCCGGAUCGGACACAAUGAGUUUUUCCUGUCCGCUCUUGGGAGGCUCCGUGUGGCAGCUUGCAGCUUCUGUGCAGUCCAUCACGUGAGGGGAGGACCUGUUCCUGGUAACUACUCAAGAUACCGUAAACCUGACAAGCGGUUUAAGGCAAAGCUCGAAAAACUACAACCUAUAUAUGCAUAACAUUGACUGUGUAAAAACACAAUGGGUUGUGAACAAAGAUAGAAAACAAUAAUCACUUGAUUUUAUUCCAUAUAAUGUACAAGUAACAAUUCACAAACUACACAAUCCAGGCUAUCAUCCCUUAUUCGUAAUAAUUAAUACAUAGUUAUUAUUAUCGGAAUUAACCAGAUCUGUAUUUAUGAUUAAAGCCAAAUUUAAUGUUCAUCAUUUAAGGUCAACACAAUUAGAUUCGCCCUGUAUUGUAGCAUUGGUUAAUUAAAGCGUAUUUCCUAAUAAAUUAUGUGUUAAAGUUCACCGUAGCCUUUUUUUAAAUUUGGGACCCUUACUCGGCAUUCAUUACAAACGAUGGCACCUCGUAUCUAUCAGGCUUGACAUCGUAUCUAUCAGCAUUGACGUAAAUUUUCACUUUGUGCUCAAAAUAGAAUAUCUUUGACCUUCUGUAUCUCACAGAAAAUAGCACAUAUUUUAUUGCCUCUAACAUAUUUCAUAAUCCAUAUAUUAACAAAGAAAAUGAUAUAAAGUUUUGCUCCAAAUGUUUUUGCGGUGAGCUGUGGUAGAAGGUUAAAGAUUGCCUGUUUUUGUAAAAUUUCAAAAUUAAAUUCUGAAGUUUGUUAUUUUUAUCAUGUGGCAAGGAAAGGUACCUUGUGCACACGAAAUAUUCUUUCUCGAUUAACAAAGGGUUAUCAUGAUAAUUUUUUAAGAUAGAAAAGUUUUAUUUUAUUUUUUAUGGUUUCAACUUGUACAGUAUUCCUGUGGCAGGACAAUGCUGACUGUUACCACUGUGGUAAUCCUGUUACAAACCUGCAGGCAAAAAGGGGAAUUUUUAUCAAGGGAAUUGUCCGACUCAUAAUGUGAUAAGGGGCCUUCCAAUAGAAAGUCAUUCCCAAAUGUCCAACAUAUAAAUAUAUAUGAAUAUAUAUGAAUAUGUAUGAAUAUGUAUGAAUAUGUAUGGAUAUGUAUAAAUAUGUAUGAAUAUGUAUGAAUAUGUAUGAAUUUAUUUGAAUAUAUAUGAAUAUACAUAAAGACCAGGCCUAACAACUGCAUCUUUUUCUAAGAUGAGGCAUGACCACAACCUCCGUAGGAGCUGACAUAACUGUU